rnacentral:lncRNA from 1 species
UCCUACUGUACAGCACAGGGAACUGUAUCUAAUCUCUUGGGAUAGAACAUGAUGGACGAUGAUAUGAGAAAAAUUGUAUGUAUAGAUGAAUGGGUCACUUUGCCAUACAGAAGUAACUGGCACAACAUUGUAAAUCAACUAUACUUUAAUAAAAAUAGAUAAUUUUAAAAAAUAAAAUAAAAUAUUGGGAGGAAUUUGUUUCUGCUCUAGUUGCUUUGUUAUUACUAUGUGCAUUCUUUUUUCUUUUACUUUUGUAGCUUUUUUCAUUUUUUAAAGUUUUAUUGAAGUAUAGUUGAUUUACAGUGUUGUGAUAAUUUCUGCUGUAUAAGAAAGUGAUUCAGUUAUACGUAUACACACAUCCAUUCUUUUUCAGAUUUCUUUGCCUAUAUAGCUUAUCACAGAAUUCCCUGUGCUACACAGCAGGUCCCCAGUGGCCAGUCAUUCCAUAAGCCACAGUGUGCAAAAGCCAAUCCCAAACCCCCAGUCCAUCUCUCCACCUCCCACCUUCCCCUUUGGUAGCCAUAAAUUUGUUUUCAAGGUCUGCAAGUUUGUUUCUUUUUGACAAAUAAGUUCAUUUGUAUCCUUUUUUUAGAUUCCACAUAUAAGUGAUAUCAUAUCUUUCACUGUCUGUGAUAUCAUUGUCUUUCACUGUCUGACUAAUCCAAUCAAAAAUAGGCAGAAGAUCUAAAUAUCUCUCCAAAGAAGACAAACAGAUGGCUGAAAAACAUAUGAAAAGAUGCUCAACAUUGGUAAUUAUUGGAGAAAUGCAAAUCAAAACUACUAUGAAGUACCACCUUGCACCAGCCAGAAUGGCCACCAUCAAAAAGUCUACAAAGAGGAGUUCCCACUGUGGUGCAAUGGGUUAAUGAUCUGCUUGUGUCUGUGGUGGUGUCACUGUGAUCUUGACCUGGCCCAGUGGCUUGGGGGGCAAGCAUUGCUGAAGCUCUAUGUAGGUCUCGGCUGUGUCUUGGAUUUGAUCUCUGGCCAAGGAAUUUUCAUAUGCCACAGGUGUGGCUGAAAAAGAGAGAAAAAAGUCUACAUGAGGUUCUACUGUACAGAACAGGGAACUAUAUCCAAUCUCUUGGAAUAGAACAUGAUGGAGGAUAGUAUGAGAAAAUGAAUGUAUAUAUAUGUAUGAGUAUGUCACUGUGCUGUACAGCAGAAAUUGACAUAACCAACUAUAAUAUAAAUAAAUAAAUAGAAACAUAUUCUACAAACAAUAAAUGCAGGACAGGUUGCAGAGAGAAGGAACCCUCUUACACUGUUGAUGGGAAUGUAAAUUGGUACAACCACUGUAGAAAACGGUAUGGAGGUACCUCAGAAAACUAAAUAUAGAACUACUGUAUGAUCCAGAUAUCUCACUCCUGAGCACCUUUCCAGACAAAACCAUAAUUCAAAGAUACCUUCACUCCAAUGUUUAUUGCAGCACUAUUUAUAAUAGCCAAGACAUGGAAGCAACCUAAAUGUUCAUCAACAGAGGGAUGGAUAAAGAACAUGCAGUACAUAUAUACCAUGGAAUAUUACUCAGCCAUUAAAAAUAAUGAAAUAAUGCCAUUUGCAGUAACAUGGAUGGACCUAGAGAUUAUCAAACUAAGUGAAGUUAGACAGUGAAAGACUAUGUGCAUUCUUAAUGGCCUGUUUGCUUCCAAGACCAAAAUGAGAAAUAAGGCCUAUUAAAAUGUAAAGAGACUGAAGCCUGAGGUGGUAGAAUUGUGUAAGACCCCUUUUAAAAAUAGGAAUAUCUAAUAAUCCAUAUAACUUGUAGAGAUAAUGGGAUAGCAAGAGUGUCUACCAAACUUAUUUAGCAAAAAUUGUAGCUAGGAGUCUCAUGUGCGCAUGGAUACUGCAAAAGCCAUUUUCCUUCACAAUUAGUUCUCUUUAAAACUGAUUGCUCUAGUCUGAUUCUUUGAUUCUCAAAGGAUCUAGUACUCGAGCUGAUAUACUGGAGUAUUAGAGUGUGUGCGUGUAUUCCUUUGAAAUCCAGUGCUUGAUAAACAAUUUAUUUAACUCCUCUUUCCCUGGCAUAAUUCCAUGAGUUUUAUAGUGAGAAAACAACUGUGCUUGAUUCUUACCUCACUCCUUGACUUAGUAGUUGUGUGAUUUUUUUGAUGAUUAUUUAACUUACCAAGUUCUGUUAUCUGUGUGUAAAGUAGAUUUAACAAUACCUAUUCUUAUGUACAUAUAUUUUUGUAUUCCUAGGAUAUCUACCCCUGCUGACAAAUACCCCUUUCUUUUUGGAAAAUUACUUCUCUUCCCACUCCUAGAAUUUUGGUUCUAAUGGAGGUUGUGUCUCUGGCCACAGAAGUACUUAUGUGACUCAAGCUAGUACCAUCUGAGUAAGUAUUCUACAAAUUCAAUUCAAUCCCUGUCAAAAUUCUUACAGUAUUUUUUCUUACAGUAUUUUUUGUAGAAAUAGAAAAACCCAUUAUAAAAUUCACUCAGACUCUCAAGGGAACCCAAAUCUUGACAAAGAAAAACAGUUAUAAUAAAAUAUUGCAUAAUACUAGAGGACAUCUGUCAAUAUUUUUUUUCAGAUAGAUUCUAUGUGCAUUAAACUUUCCAAGUCCUUGCUUAUUUGAAAAUAUGUUUUCCUUUCACAUGAUUGAUAUUUUAAUGAUAUAGAAUUCUAGCCCCUUUCUCUGAAUCUGGACUCAAUCUACAGUAAAAUGUUUAUUCAUGUGUUUUUUCACAUUUUAUAAUUGGAUUUUUAUUGUGAUAAAAAAUAUACAUGACAGAUAAUUUACCAUUUUAACUAAAGUGUAGAAUUUAGUGGUAUUUAGUAUAGUUGCAAUGUUGUGCAAUGAUUACCUCUAUCUUUCUUUAUAACUUUUUCAUCAUCCCUAAUAGAAACUCUGUACCCAUUAAACAGGUCCCCAUUACCUCUUCCCCCAGUUCCUGGAAACCUCUAUUAUAUCUUUUGUCUCUGUGAAUUUGCCUAUUCUAGGUACUACAUAUAAGUGUAAUCAUACAAUAUUUGUCUUUUUGUGUCUAGCUUAUCUCAUUUAGUGUAAUGUUUUCAAGUUCAUCCAUGUUGUAUCAUAUAUCAGAAUUUAAUCCCUUUUUAAGAGUGAAUAAUAUUCAUUUGUAUGUAUAUACUACAUAUUGCUUAUUCAUUUGUAUGUUAAUGGACUCUUGGAUUUUCAUUUUCUGACUAUUGUGAAUAAUGCUCCUAAGAAUAUCAGUGUGCAAGUUUCUGAGUCCUUACCUUCUCUAUCAGGUAUAUAUCAGGUAUCUGAUAUAUAUCAGGUAGUUCUAUCAGGUAUAUACCUAAAAGAAGAAUUCUAUGUUUACUUUUUUAUGGAACUGCCAAAUUGUUUUCCACAGUGACCGCACCAUAGUAUAUUCACAUAAGCAAUGCACUGGAUUUCCAAUUUAUCUACAUCUUCACCAAAAAUUAUUUUCAAUUUUUAAUAAUAGCCAUCCUAAUGGAUAUGAAGUAGUACCUCACAGACACUUCAAUUUUCUAUUUUCUUAGUGAGAUUAGUGAUAUUUAAUAUAUUUUCAUGUACUUCUUGGCCAUUUGUAUCUUCUUUGGAAAGAGUCUAUUCAUAUGCUUUGUACAUUUUUUAAUUGGAUUGUUUGAUUUUCGGUUUUUGUUGAGUUGUAAUAGUUACUUGCAAAUGUUUUUCUUCCCUAUUAUGCAGGAUUCCUCUUCACUCUCUUAAUUUACCUUCAAUGCAUGAAAAGUUUUUCAUUUUGAUGCAGCCAUAUUUAUCUGUUUUUCCUUUUGUCAUCUGUGUUUUUAAUGGUCAUCUAACAAAUAAUCAUAAAAUAUAAAAGCUACAGAGCCUUCUGUGUUUUAUUCCAAGAGUUUCAUAGUUUUAGCACUUAUGUUUAGGUCUUAAGUCUAUUUUCAAUUAGUUUUUGUAUAUGGCAUAAAGAGUCCAACUUCACUUGUUUUCAUGUGUAUAUCCAGUUUCCUCAGCACCAUAUGUUGAGAAGACUGUCCUUUCUACAUUGAAUGGUGUUGGUACAUUUUUCAAAAAUUAAUGUAAAACCCUGAACUGCCUGGGUUAUAUUUGGAAUGGAUGGGCAAUGGGGCCCUACUGUACAGCACAGGGAACUGUGUGGGAUUGGGUCAUUUUGCUGUACAACAGGAACUGAAAAAACAUUAUAAAUCAACUAUAUUUUAGUUUUAAAAAAAUCAAUGUAAAAGUUUAUUUCUGGACUUUCUGUUCUGUUCCAUUGGUCUGUAUGACUGUUUGUGUCAGUACCAUACUGUUUUGAUUACUAUAGCUUUGUGGUAAAUUUUGUAAUCAGAAAAUGUGAGACCUCCCACUUUAUUUUUCUUUUUCAAAAUUGUUUUUUCUUUGUCAAGAUUUGGGUUCUCUUGAGAGUCUGAGUGAAUUUUAUAAUGGGUUUUUCCAUUUCUACAAAAAAUACUGUAAGAAUUUUGAUAGGGAUUGAAUUGAAUUUGUAGAUUGAUUUGGGUAGUAUUGUUAUUUUUAGAAUUUUAAGUCUUCCAACCCAUGAACAAAGGAUGUAUUUCCAUUUAUUUAUGUCCUUUAAAAUUUCUUUCAGCAAUAUUUUGUAAGUUUUAGUGUACAAGUUUUUAUUUUCCUCCUUAAUUAAAUUUAUUCCUAUUUUCAUUUGAUGCUAUGGUAAAUGUAAUUGUUUCCAUAAUUUUCUUUUGUGACAAUUCACUUCAAAGGAAAGAGACACAACUGGUUUUUGUGUGUUGAUUUUGUAUCCUGCAAUAAUUGUUGUUCAUUUAUUGUCUCUAAGAGUUUCUUCAUGGAGUAUCUAGAAUUUGCUACAUAUAGUACCAAGCCAUCUAUGAACAGGAUAAUUUUACUUCCUUAUUUCUAAUUUGGAUGUCUUUUGUUUAUUUUUCUUGCUGAAUAUGUCUGCCAGAAAGUCUAUUACUAUGUUCAGUAGAAGUGGCGAAAAUAGACAUCCUUGUCUUGUUCCUGUCUUAGGGGACUUUUUUAUUGUCUCCAUAGUUUUGCUUUUUCUAGUCAAAAUGUUAUAAUAUAUAGCCUUCUCAGGUGGGCUUCUUUCACUUAGUAAUAUGCAUUCAAUGUUCCUCUGUGUCUUUCAAGGCUUCAUAGGUCAAUUAUUUUUAGUGCUGAAAAAUAUUAUAUUGUUUGGAUAUACUACAUUUAACUAUUGAAGGACAUCUUGAUUGCUUUUAAGUUUUGGAAAUUAUAAAUAAAACUGCUAUAAAC